UCCUCAGUAGCUCAGUGGUAGAGCGGUCGGCUGUUAACUAACUAGUCGUAGGUUCGAAUCCUACUUGGGGAG
rnacentral:tRNA from 1 species